CAGCCCCAGUGCCAGAACACAGCCUGAACGGGGAAAACAGAAAGCACUUCUCCAUUUAUUACUGUCUUACAAACAUUGUAACAACGGCAAGAAUAAAGGUUAGAGGAGCCACCAGCAGCCGUUGCAUGUUCUCUUCGUCCUCAGUCAACAUCUCACCUGGCCAUGUUCUUUACAUGGCAGCAUGACUCAAACCUUCCUUCAAAAUUCAUUAGAAGCAUCAGCUCUGCCCUCCAGCUGUUCUGCUCCAGACUGUCAUCCCUGACAGCUGCUCUACAGGGUAUCACGGCACACACCGCAGUGCAUCCUGAUGUCUGGCUUCCGGGAACUCCAACGUGUCAACAGAAAAGAUGAUCCGAGAUGGGCCUAAUCAGAGAGAGGGGAUCCCAAUGCAGGGCCAUGGAUGCUGAGGUCUAUGUCUGCACAUUUCUCCUGAAAUGUACAAGCCUGCGUCCAGAGAAAAUAGCCCGGUGUUGGAAAAGUUGAAGUCACAAGUUCGAAGAGCUUAAACAAACAAAGAGAAGACAUGAAGUAUGUUUACAAUCCUUUAAUUAAAAACCUAUUUAUAUUUAGCAUAUUUCCAGCCCAAUUUCAUUAAUUGGCCCUUCUAGGAAUUUGGGAGAUUGGAGGACAGAAUAGUGUUUUGUUCGACAGUAGACAAGACCAGCACACGUCAAAAUCUUCUCUGUGCACCAUGUGAACGAAGUAGGAAAGGUGAGAAAGCAAUGGCCAAUGUCUGGAUGACAUAUAAAGACCAAGUCCAACAGUCGUCACACCUACAGACAUUCUACAAACAAACAUGUGAGAAUAUUUUUAACCUUGCCAGUAAUUUUUAAAAUUCUAAAUAAAACUAGUGCAUCAUUUUGUAUAAUAAAUUUAGACAAUAAAAAAUAAAUCCGCAAGUUUGAGAAACCAAGUAUCCAAUACCAGAAACUUCUGUGAUGAACUAUUAUUUCAUAUAUUUCUAGUGGAUAGAAUUUGGCACAAACCUUCCAUGACGGGUCAGAAACCCGAGAAUCAUACUCCAAGAUAGGGGCUUGUGUGCAGGGGGCUUAUAGCAGGGUGAUUUGGGGUCAGUACCUGAGAGGGAAGGAGGAAGCAGGAGUGGGCAGGAGGUGAGUUGGAGCUGCAAUACCAUUGCAACGAGGGUCUCAGGCAAUCCUACAGGGAGCUCUGGGGCUGAGGCUAUCCUUCAGAGUUGUCUCAAAUUGGGGUGUUAGGGACCAGCCCAGUGGCAUAGUGGUUAAGUUCACAUGCUCUGCUUCAGUGGCCCGGGGUUCACCAGUUCAAAUCCUGGGCAUGCACCUACACACAGCUCAUCAAGCCAUGAUAUUGUGGCAUCACACGUACAAAGUAGAGGAAGAUUGGUACAAAUGUUAGCUCAGCAACAAUCUUCCUCAAGCAAAAAGAGGAAGAUUGGCAACAGAUGUUAGCUCAGAAACAAUCUUCCUCACCAAAAAACAAAAUAAAAUAAAAUUGAGGUGUUAAUUGCAGGUUCCCCCUUUGCAUAAGUUUGGGCAAGACAGCUCUCUCCAGCUUAUGGAAAGUCCCAGAAAGGGAAGUCAGCUGACUGUUAUUUGCCACCAACACUCCCACCAGCUCAGGGGAUGAAUGAACUGACCUGGAGGGGGAUCUGGGUGGCACACCAUGGUAUCCUCUGUGGACAACUCCUUACUCCACUUGGAUCCACUUCCUUCGUAUUAUAAACUCUAGGAGAAACUCCUCCAGUAUUCUGUUUGGUUUCUUUUCCUGGGGGAAUCUUACAAGAAGGUUAGGGAGAAAAACUUCCAUCUCUGCCACUGCACUGACCUUGAGGCAGUAACAGACAGUCUUUCUGCCAGGCUUCCACCAUCUGUUCUAGAGUCUCUUCGCCCUCAACCAGCACCUCUGCUGGUCUAGCUGGCUGGGCUGCUGAGGUGAUACAGACGUUUUAUCUCUGGAUAAGAGUGGCCACGGGCCACUGGUCACCAUAACCUUCCCAGGUGGUGUUGCUGCCACAUUUACCAACAAAAUUGGGCAACGGUUACCAAGAGCAACCCAAGUGGAUCACUUGAGUGCCAAAUAUAUUCUUCCCUGCCCCUAGUGUGUACGAGCAGCUCUACCUCUGCCUGAAGGUCAAGGUCAAUUGUUCAUGCCAGUAUGGUGACUACUUUCCUUGCCUAUUGGUCUCUUGGGACAAGAUCUUUGAAGUAACCGAGCAGGAGCUUAAUCCUAUUAAUUAUCUUAAUAGAACCUUGCUGUGUUCUUUGGUGGACCCAUUCACUCUCUAAGAAACAAGACUAUAAAAUGUCAGAAUCCAGAGUUAAAGAGAAGGGAAGCACAAAUUCUCUAAAGGAGUCACUGGGGCCGAUGAUAAGCAAGGUCAUUUUUACUUCUGCUUCUUGCUUCCUGGGUCUUGAAAACACAGCACCAUCUAAUAUUUAACAAUUUGAGGUAUAUACUACAUCUUAGAGGAUAGCGGUCCAUCUGGACAGGGCAUCCUCUCCAAGAUGGCACCUCAGCUGACCCUUCAACAGAUUGUUCCAGUGCUCUGUCAGUCCAGCAGCCCGUGGGUGGUGGAGUACAUGAUAGGACUGUGGAUACCAUGGUCAUGUGCCCACUGCUCACCUCCUUUGCUGUAUAAUGGGUGUCUUGGUCCAGUGAAAUUUUGUGUGGGAUCCCAUGCCUGUAGAUCAAACUCUUUCUAAGCCCUUGGUUAGCAGUGCUGGUUGAAGUCCUGCAGGCAGAAAAGGCAACCUGUAUUUGGAACAGAAGUCAAACCCAGUGUGGAAAGUCCGUCCACCUGGACCUAUCGCAGAUCGCUUUUCUGUUCUGAGACCCACACAAAGCUGGCAAUUUUAUGUGUCUCCCUGUAAAUGGGUUAAAACAAUAUUCCCAAGUGUGCAAUAAAUGCCCUGCCUCCAAAAAUCUAAGACACCUAUCAGGCAUUGUGUUCCUUCCUGGUGAUGGGAAGUGCGAGAUGCAAUAAUCUGCCCCAAACUUUGAAGAGAAUGUUCCAGCAUGCCUCUGACCCUUAGACUAAAAAUUGCAUUGAUGCUGUAGGCCUCUGAAUCUUCUUAAGGUUUUUCUCCCACCUUCUGGAACACGUUCUAUUAAUUUGUAUUUAUUUUCUGUUCUUGCAUAAAAAAUUACCACAAACGAGCUUAAAACAACACUCAUAUAUUACCUCAUGGUUCUAGAGGUCAGAAGACCUGUAGAAAGUCAAAGUCAAGACGUCAGCUACAUAGCAUCCCAGUUCACCACUGUUAAAAUAUUUAACCAUUCACCACCACCACAUGCCACAGGCUAUCUGUGUUCUACCUACCAUCAGUAGAUUUUACUUACUGCCCAAUUUUUUGCAUAAUACAUUGAACAUAAUGCACUAAGUAGCCACUAUUUGUAUUUACAACUUGCACUUUUCCCUCUAAAAUUAAGAUUUGUGGCCUGCUUCACUGCCAACUAUUCUGUGUGAAUAAAACAGUGAACGAUUUCACAUUUCAAAGGAAUCUCUUUUACUUGCUAUAAACAUGACUGGUCCUCCUUCGGAACUAAUCUCAGUGUACGCUUUCCUAUUUGCACCAUGACUUACAAAGUUAUUAUAUACGAAACGAACAAAAAUCUCCCAGAUCAUGGGUUCUCAGGAAUAAAUAGAACAAAAACUUGUCAAGCAAUUUUCCCUCAUAUAUAAUGUGACAAAUGUUAGGAGCUAUUUAAAACUCUGAAAUCAGUGGUUAUAGAACUGCAAAGUAAAAUAUUUACUAUUAUUAUGCACUUGUGAUAGUAAUCGCUCCUUCACAUUAUAUUUCAUUGAUAUUGUGCAAUACACAACAGAACAUUUCAUAAAGGACUUUUACCAAUAACCCUCAAGCAUGGUACUUAUCAUUAACUUUGUGGCUAAUUUUACAAGCCGCUUGUGAUUUGUGUUAUAAAUACUAUUUUUGUCAUACGUAGUAGUACUUUAAAUUUCUUCUUCCAUUUUGGUCUCUUCUUUGCCUUUAGCAACAAAAUUUAUUGCUAUUACACUAGAAAGCAUCAUUUUUGCCUAUCCUUGGAAAGCUGAUUGGUUUGCUUUGGAAGUUAUUUGUGGAGGAAACUGCUAGCAGUGUCCAUUCUCCCAUUCCUCCUUCGUAUUAGAACCUCCAAUACUAGAUGGGCACGAUGCUGCUCAGGUGGAGGACUACCUGCCCACCUCCCUUGCAGCUUGGAUGCUCAGGUAACUAAGUUCUGGUCAGUGAUAUACAUAAAUGUGUUUUUGUAGGACUUCUGGGAACUUUCCUUGAAAGGGAAUGGGUACGCUUAUCCUUACUUCUUGCUGGCUAGAGUAGAUUGUGAUGUGUGGAACGCCAGCAGCCAUCUUUGACCAGGAAGUAUUUGUGAAAACAAAAGCCACACAUUGAGAUGGUAGAAUAAAGAGAAAAGAGCCCAGGGCUCUGAUGACACCAUGGGCCCACUAUUCCAACCCUAGACUGCCUGCCCUCAGACUUCUUUGAGAAGGAGGAAUUAAUCUCCCUCUGUUCAAGCCACUGUUAUUUUGGGGUUAAUUUCUUGGAUGCAGCUGAAAUUAUUCCUAGUGAAUAUAUCGUUAUGCUUCGUUUUAAAAAGAUGCAAAUCUGCAAUGUCUUCAUGCCUCUAUUUGACAAUGUUAUUUUUUCCAAUUAUUUUAUUGAGGUUAUAUUGGUUUAUAACAUUGUAUAAUUUCAGUUGUACAUUAUUAUAUAUCAGUUUCUGUAUAGAGUGAAUUGUGCUCACCACCAAUAGUCUAAUUUUUAUCCAUCACCAUACAUAUGUGCCCCUUUACCCCUUUCACCCUCCCCCAACCCCUUUCCCCUCUGGUAACCAUUAAUCUGUUCUCUUUAUCCAUCUGUUUGUUUAUCUUCCACACAUGAGUGAAAUCAUAUGGUAUAUGUCUUUGUCUGGAUUAUUUCGCUUAGCAUAAUACCCUCAAGGUCCAUCCACGUUGCUGCAAAUGGGGUGAUUUUGUCUUUUUUAUGGCUGAGUAGUAUUCCAUUGUAUAUGUAUAUCACAUCUCCUUUAUCCAUUCAUCAGUUGAUGGGCACUUGGGUUGCUUCCACGUCUUGGCUAUUGUGAAUAAUGCUGCAGUGAACAUAGGGGUGCAUAAAUCUCUUUGAAUUAUUGAUUUCAUGUUCUUUGGAUAAAUACCAAAAGUAGUGGGAUAGCUGGGUCAUAUGGUAGUUUUCUAUUUUUAAUUUUUUGAGAAAUCUUCACAUUGUUUUCCAUAGUGACUGCACCAGUUUGUAUUUCCACCAGCAGUGUAUGAGGCUUCCCUUUUUUGUAUAUCCUCUCCAACAUUUUUAUUUUUUUGUCUUGGUAAUUAUAGCUAUUCUGACAGGUGUGAGGCAAUCUCUCAUUGUAGUUUUGAUUUGCAAUUUCCCAAUAAUUAGUGAUGAACAUCUUUUCAUGUGCCUAUUGGCCAUCUGCAUAUUUUCUUUGGAAAAAUGUCUGUUCAUAUUGUCUUCCCAUCUUUUGAUUGGGUUGUUUGUUUCUUUGUUGUUGAGUUGUAUGUGUUCUUAUAUAUUUUGGAAAUUAACCCCUUGUCAGAUACACAUGGUACUGGCACAAAGACAGACACACAGGUCAAUGGAACAGAAUCAAAAGCCCAGAAAUAAAACCACAAAUCUAUGGAUGGCUACUCUUCAGCAAAGGAGCCAAGAACAUACAAUGGAGAAAGGAAAGUCUCUUCACUAAGUGGUGCUGGGAAAACUGGACAGCAACAUGCAAAAGAAUGAAAGUAGACCAUUAUCUUACCUCAUACACAAAAAUUAACUCAAAAUGGAUUAAAGACUUAAAUGUAAGACCUGAAACCAUAAAACUCCUAGAAGAAAAUAUAGGCAGUACAUUCUUUAACAUCGAUCUUAGCAGCAUCUUAUUGAAUACCACGUCUACUCAGGCAAGGGAAACAAAAGAAAAAAUAAACAAAUGGGACUAUAUCAGACUAAAAAGCUUCUGCAAGGCAAAGGAAAUCAUGAACAAAAUGAAAAGACAACCCACCAACUGGGAGAAAACAUUAACAACAUUUUUCAAUGGAUAAUACACCAAAUAUUAGGGAAAAUUAAGUUGUCAAUCCAGUAACACUCAAAUUUCAGAUAUUUGUUGUUUUGCUUUCUAAUAAUACCUUUUAUCUUGUGCAAAAUCAUUGUUCCCAUGGGUUUUCCUGUCCUCGUUAAGGAAGUUCACAGUGUAUGUUGAUUAUAUUCACAUUCUCUAUUGAGAAGGUCUGUUCAUAUAUUCUGAGUUAUAGUAUUGAUAUGACUAUUGUUAUCAUUGUAUUUAUACUCUGAUAAAUACUUUUAAGCCUUUUAAUCCUCUUGUAUCAUUCAAGAUAUUAUGCAACAGCCAAAAUCAAAAAUAACAAACAUAAACAAUAACACUAAAUAAAAUGCAAUGGUAGAGAGAGGUUGGGGGAAAAUACUCAGUUUGCCAGAUUUUCCAUUCACGUGGUUUGUAAUGGCCUCAUGCCCAGUUUAGGUGUGAGGUGGACAGAGAGUGUGACAGCUGUAAAGUAGAAAGCUCCUGGUCUGAGAGCACGAAGGUAUGCACACGUAUAUAGUAUACAUAACACGUAUAUAAUAUAAGCUCACCUCUGUUAACUACUUCAGGUGACGACAAAGAAUGACAUUCAUUAAAAUGUUGAUCAUAAAUUGGUGGCUAAGAUAAUAUCUACAUGUGUUUUAAUCUGUAAUAUUAAGUAAAAACCAUUUGUUAAGUUUGGGCAGGAAUUGACUGUGAGAGUACAGUUCAAAGAAAACAUUAUGGACAGGUUGAGGAGGACCAGCUCUCUCUCCUGCCCAAGGGUAUGGCAGCUGGGACUGCAGGGGAGGCUCCUACAACCCACAGACCACUCCUUUCCAACUUUCAAGACCACCCUCAAACAAAAUGGCUUUAGGGACAGCUUCCACUAAAGCAUUUGUGAGGAGCACCUGCUCCUUGUACAUUCAUUUCUUAUAAGCUCCCAGGGCUGCUCAAACGUAUCACAUUAUCUCUGUGGGUCUCCACGCUUCCAGCCAAGAAUAAGAAAAGGUCACACAGCUCUACAUCCCCUACCUGAGCAAAGAGAGGUGUGGGAAGCAGGGAAUGCCGAAGCCUUUAAAGAAAUCUGGCUUCUGCCACUUAUGUCUGGUCUCUAUACAGUUUGGGGCAAACUCUGUCUGUUUAUGGAGAAGUGAUUGUAAACUUUUUGAAAUUCACACCCAACGUAAACACAGAAAUGCAGAUGAAGCGAAUGUUAGCAGUGACAGCUGACUCACGUGGCCUUUUGACACAAGCAAUGCUUUUAGAAUAUUUUGGUUUGUUAGGAAUGUAACAGAAUGUCUCUGAAGCCUAAAAUUAAUCUUAUACUGCAAAUACGUGAAAUAUAUAUGGACAAAAUGUUCAUUGCUUUUUCCUGGAAAAGUGCCACACUUUCUGAGGAUGUCUUCAUAAACUCCUGGGAUGACCAGUGGUCUUGGGAGCCCAUUCAGACCUCCUGGAUCUUUGAAGCAGAAAUGUCACAGCGAGAGAGUGAGUUUGUAGCAGAAGAACCAAGAAGCCCUGAAAAUACCACUUUGGUGUAAAAGAUUAAUAAAAAGGGGCUCUGACAGCCAGGGCACAGACUCAAACAAACUAUUUCUAAAACUGGGUACCCCUCUGAAUUCAUCAGGAAAACUGAAAAUGGCAGCAGCCUGUCUGCAGGUCCUCGGCAACACGAGCUUAGUAACGGAACUAUAAACGGCAGCUGUCUAGGAGAGGGGAUUGUACAUCAAAAGGAAAAGAAUCCUGUUGUGCUUUAUAUGGUUUCACAAUCUCUGGGCUCUACUCUAGUUGUAACUCCAAGAAGCUUUACUCUGAGCGUUGAAAGAAGAAUUUCUCUGCCAAGCUUAGUUAUAUGACUGCCCCUGGGCUUGGGGAAGAAGAGUAUAUUGUGAGGCUUUAGUUAGUCCGUCCUGGAAAGUGGAGGGUUAGGAGUCCCUCUCCCUAGCCCUCUCCAAGUCACUACUGGCUAGCAGGUGUAAGCCGUCUCGUCUUCUUAGCACGGGCAGAGGAACGAGAGGACCGAGGGGAAUGAAUUGAAGACCACAAACAGAGCUGCUGCGUCUGCUCACAGGUAGUGUCCUGCCUAGCUGCAGAGAUGCCAUUCCCAGGGUCAACAGUGUCAAUGGCACCGCCAGGGGUUGUGCAGUGUGGCAGCCCUGAGUCCAAAAGGCCCUUCUGCCUUAAGAUGUCUUCUCUUACAGUCCACCUCAGUGCCCAAUCCCACUCCUCUAGAGCCUUUUCAAUAACAGAUGUGUAAACACUUUACAAAGUAUUAAAAAAAAUGCAAAUCUGAGGGAUUUGGGGGAGUACGGUACUGUUUCCAGUAGUUAACAUAUCAAUAUGUUAUCUAGAGGGUCUCAUUUGUUAAUAUAUUAACCCAUUCUAAUAAGGUGAUCAAAUGAUGCGAUAUACUUAAAAGCACUGAGCGAACUUUAAGGAACUCUACAAAUAUAAGAUGUUGGAAUGAUGACAGUGUCUGGUUAAAGAAGUAGCGUAAGAAACAGAGCCUCAAAAGACUAAGAUGAAGACAAGUAGGGUUUAAUAGGGAAAUGUGAGUCCUGGGGAGCCAAGGCACGGCUUUAAAAUAGGGGAGCAGCCAUAGAUAGCACACUGUCACUGAGACCCCGAGUGCCAAGGGGGUUACAGAGGCCCCAGAGGAUAAAUGGACAUGCUAAAAAUAAACUUCAUCUCCUUAACAACUUACCUUUUACGAUCACAAACUCAUUCUAUCUUGCUGGCUCUCUGUCUUCUCCCAUAUCCAUUCUUGUCAGAUUUCAAUUUGUCGAAAUAAGAACAAAACUUCUCAGCUCACUCAGCCAGGGCUGCUAAAAGAUUAAUUAAAUGUUCAUAUCUCCUUGAGUUUCCUCUAGGGGCAUAAACACCCUGCCCAUUUUCUUUGCUUAACGAAAUCUUAGAAGGGCCAGCAACUGAAGGCGCUUUUUCUAGUUUGCUUCCCUCGAUUUCUGCCCUCUCCUCCCUGAGAACUGGCCAUGUUUUCCUCCAGAGUACUUCACUCAUAAAGUCAUCUUAUCAAACCCCUUGAGACAGGGCCAGCAUCUUCCUCCUCUUCCUGUUCCCCAUGGCUUAGCUAGGAAGGUGAUUCACGCUCUAAACUACACCGACUUCCUGAAGUCAGAGGCCUCACAGUUGUUCUAUUAGCCUCAGGGAAGGGAGGCAAAUUUUAUUAAGAAAAUUUUAAGGACCUGUUCUUAAGUACUUAAGAAGCUUAAUAUUUAUUUCUUCUCAACAAGUCGAAGAUGGUACCUAUUAUUUUAAUCUUUUAACAAUUGUGUUCUCGGUCCACGGAGAUACAGAAGCACAGGUCUGCAAGAGUCCAGGCUGCUCAUGACAGAGUCCCAAGAGGCUCAGAGAAGAGAUGGCAAGAUAGACAGCGAAACUUAAAAUCUACUGGGAGGAGAUAAAUAAAAAACAAAUGAAGGCAAUAUAAAGACCCUGGAUGUGGUAACUGCUAGUGUAUAUUUGAAAUUUAAACCCAAGUUAUAAUCAAAACAAUCUCCCUUUGUAAGAAAAUUAAUAUGAUUACAUCAAAAUCCUUCUCUUGUGUGACAUUGCAUUUCUAGUGCAAGGUAGAGGACUUGAACCCCGUUAGAAUAUUACUUUAUAUAACUCCAUAAACUUAUGAUCAUGGUUAAAUGAUAAUCUUUGGCAUUUCUUGGGGGAAAAAAAGAAGUUAUUUAAAUCAAAGCCAAAAGGAUUUAGCUGUAAACAGGAAAAUAUUGGCAUAGCGAUUUUCCCGUGUCAACUUGGUAAAGCUGAAACUGCACUUCCCAGAAUUCUUAAACCUGUAUAUUAUACAAAGUUAAAGUAGGUCAAAAUUGGAAUUUGCAUGAGAUUUGGAAGGUUGAAAUGAAUUAGCAGCCAUUAUUUUCUAAGGUUAUCAAGCUUAGAUGUGGGUGACAGAAAGAUGCAGGGCCCAGCGGGUUCCACAUUGCUGUCACUCUCCUAACUCAUGGUCAGGCUCUCCUUCCUGACUGCUCACUCUGCUGUUAUCCCAGGUUUGUCAACAGAUGCGUGGCUGUGGAUCUAGACAGGCAACAGCUCCCCACAGACCUCUCCAUCAGAUCCCUUUUUGGUCUCACUCUGGCAGCUGGAUGGGGCCGGCUUUCAGACUGACUGGUGGGUGUCUUCUGUGAUCCUCCAACUUACCCUUCAGACUUUCACUUCCCUAGCCUCCCACAAUUGUAUAGGGUCUAAUUCUUGUAAUAAAUCCCUUACCCAUAGCUCAAAAGGUCAGCUUUCUCAUUGAACCCUGAUGUUACAAUUGGUUAGAAAGAAUCAUUCAAUUUCAUUAACAUUUGAUGAGCAUCUAUCUGGGCCAACCCUCUUCGUAUAUACUCAUCUCAUUUUAUCCUCAUGACAUCUAUGUGAGAUUGGCAUCAUAACCCCCUCUUAUGGAUAGGAAAACAAAAGCUGAAAGGGGUUAACCGGUUUGUCUAAGAGAAUCCAGCUAGAAGAGAAAGAUGAGCAGAGCAAAGCAUUUCUCCUUGGCCUGCCACCCCCUGCCUUACACACACAUAUAUGAAGCCAGAUACCUGAAGGUUACUGUAGAUAUUAGGCCAAUUUGUUGUUUUCCUGUUUAGGUUGAGUUGCGACUCAGGGGUCUUCUCAAGUGUUUGUGAGCUUGUUUUGCGUAAGAAAGAGAAGGCCUUUGGGGAGGCUGCACUCACCAGACGACUGGCCCUCUGUAGCCUUUGAAGCCCAAAAAUCAGAUUGCCCUGGGGCUUAUCAGGAGCGACCCCUCUGUUUCCCUGAAGCUCCUCCUGCCAAGCUCCUUGGCUCUCUGAAAACCCCCUGCUUUCUGUUCCGGAGAAGAUGGAUUUGAGCCCACCCAGGCUCCCACCUACUCAUUUUGGCCAGUUUGAAUAAAUCUUUCUCCAUCUCCAAGCACCGAUGUCUCAGUGUUAGACUUGCUGUGCAAGGGAAACGAGAACUUGAGAUUAAGAGUUUUGGUGUCAUAUACACACUCAGCAAAGAAGACGCUACGUUUUCAUGUUCUCAAGAGCAGUAGAGAAAGAAAUGAAUGGUAUUGUGGCUAAUGAAAUUAAAGAAAUCAAAUAAUUAGUGAAACAGGGGCUAGGGCUAAAUUAGAAACAGGUGGUGGAGCGGGGAGACAGGCUGCUGGGAACACUCCACAAAUUGUCAAAACACCCCUCUAAGAUAGGCACUCUGCUACCUCCCUUUACAGAUUAGGAAACAAAGAAAGUAGAAAGCCUCAAGGCAACCAAAUCAAGAGAAAGCAAGUCUUCAAACACUGAAGUUCUUCAAUGGCAGAAUAUUCUGCCAGAAUUCUGAAAAAGCCACAUGACAUUCCCACAUAAAUAAGAAGAGGAAGAGAGCGGGGAGAGGUGACAAGAGAGAGACAGAAAGAAAGAGAGACAGAGAGAGAAAUACAGCAAGGAAGGAAGGCAAAGAAAGGAGAGUGACAAGAGAAAAUGAGAAGUAAAAAGGCAGAACUGGGAAGGAAGAGGGAGACGUUGGCGGGUGACCUCCAUUUAUUCCAGUAACAUUUCUUGGUCACCUGCUCUGAGUCUGGAACUGUGCAGACUCUGGGUAUAUGAUAUGAACAAGUCCCCUCCCCAUCCGUGAGGCUUACAUUCCACUAAGUAAACCAGACAUUAAUCUGCAAAUUUAAAAAUUGCUGCCUUGUCUGCAAUUUACUUUACUUCACAGACUGUGUGAUAUAUAGGCGGUCAUUUUAAUUUAUAUUCUAGAUGUGGUUGGUUAAUAUCUGAACUCCCUAAUCAGAAAUACACACUUUAGGAGUGGCUAGUUAGCAUUUGAAAGACUAAUCAAAAUUCACACUCCAGAGACAGCUACCAUAGGCUCUAGUUAUCUUCAUAUUUGAUCAACGCCAGAAGAUUUGUUGCUUAGUAUAAUGGAUGUUGGAAAUAAUUUUUCUUUG
rnacentral:lncRNA from 1 species